GAUGAACGCUGACAGAAUGCUUAACACAUGCAAGUCUUUGGCGAAGCCGUGCUUGCACCGCCUAGCCAAGGCGGACGGGUGAGUAACGCGUAAGGAACUUGCCCUGCAGUCAGGGAUAACAGACGGAAACGACUGAUAAGACCUGGUAAAGUCAGGCGGACUCAUGUCCAGCCUGAUGAAAAGAGAUGCUGCAGGAGAGCCUUGCGUCCUAUUAGCUUGUUGGUGGGGUAACGGCCCACCAAGGCGAUGAUAGGUAGCCGGCCUGAGAGGGUGGACGGCCACAAGGGGACUGAGAUACGGCCCUUACUCCUACGGGAGGCAGCAGUGGGGAAUAUUGGACAAUGGGGGCAACCCUGAUCCAGCAAUUCUGUGUGCACGAUGAAGGUUUUCGGAUUGUAAAGUGCUUUCAGCAGGGAAGAAAAAAUGACGGUACCUGCAGAAGAAGCGACGGCUAAAUACGUG
rnacentral:rRNA from 1 species